rnacentral:rRNA from 1 species
AACUAUAACGGUCCUAAGGUAGCGAAAUUCCUUGUCGGGUAAGUUCCGACCUGCACGAAUGGCAUAAUGAUGGCCAGGCUGUCUCCACCCGAGACUCAGUGAAAUUGAAAUCGCCGUGAAGAUGCGGUGUACCCGCGGCUAGACGGAAAGACCCCGUGAACCUUUACUAUAGCUUGACACUGAACAUUGAAUUUUGAUGUGUAGGAUAGGUGGGAGACUUAGAAGUAGGAACGCCAGUUUCUAUGGAGUCAUCCUUGAAAUACCACCCUUUAACGUUUGAUGUUCUAACGAAGACUACGGAACGUGGUCUCGGACAGUGUCUGGUGGGUAGUUUGACUGGGGCGGUCUCCUCCCAAAGCGUAACGGAGGAGCACGAAGGUUUGCUAAUCACGGUCGGACAUCGUGAGG